UGGGGAAUAUUGCACAAUGGGCGGAAGCCUGAUGCAGCGACGCCGCGUGGGGGAUGAAGGCCUUCGGGUUGUAAACUCCUUUCGACAGGGACGAAGCUUUUGUGACGGUACCUGUAUAAGAAGCACCGGCUAACUACGUGCCAGCAGCCGCGGUAAUACGUAGGGUGCGAGCGUUGUCCGGAAUUACUGGGCGUAAAGAGCUCGUAGGUGGUUUGUCGCGUCGUCUGUGAAAUUCCGGGGCUUAACUCCGGGCGUGCAGGCGAUACGGGCUGACUUGAGUGCUGUAGGGGAGACUGGAAUUCCUGGUGUAGCAGUGAAAUGCGCAGAUAUCAGGAGGAACACCGAUGGCGAAGGCAGGUCUCUGGGCAGUAACUGACGCUGAGGAGCGAAAGCAUGGGUAGCGAACAGG
rnacentral:rRNA from 2 species